CUGAUGAUCAGACGACUAGCACAGGUAUGAAUACAAAAGAUACAUUUAAAAAAAUAUAUAUUUCCCUCUCAGAAUUCAUAAAAUAAAGUGACAGAUUAUUAGCAUAAUUUACAUGAACAAGUGUAAAAAUUGAUCAGAAACAUACCUUUACUAACCGAAUAUGUGACUGUUAUCAAAAUUUUAAUCUCUCUAAAGCUUAUAUACACGUUUAAGAACACUCAAAGAAGCCCGAAACCUGAAUUGUCACCUAACUUAAAUGAUAAAUGUAUUACAUGAUUACAGUUAGUAGUAAUCUCUACAACCUGAAGAAACGCAAGCCUUUAUCAACAUUAUCUUGCCUAAAGGCAAGAAUCCCAAAUUUACAGAUCUAAAUUUCAGUCUGAGUCUAAGGUCAAGUAUUUAUUUCAUAAUAACGUAAGCUCUUUGGUAAGGGUGCUAGUCAGCUCUCAUAUAAUAUGUAUCAAGUAUAAGCAAAUUCAAUAGAUAUCAGCAUGCUGUAUUUGUUUAGGAUCCUAACUCCAUUUUACAGUAUUAAACCCAAAUCAACAGAUCCUUCACUACGGACAAAUAUCAGCUGAUUGAAUAAUCAACUAAAGGCCUGAAUCCAUUGUUGGGAGCAACAGAAAGAAAACUAUCAAAAUACACAAAGUAGCAAAUUCCACAUAUUCUAUCUAUUGGGAUGAUUUGGAGAACCAGGCUCAGGAAUUUCUCCCUGAUUUUUUUUUUCUUGUGAUGAUGAAAAGGAAAGCAAAGACCUAGCAGCAAAUGCAAAAUAAGAGCAGCGGAGUGUUGGGGGGAAGGAAAUGCUUUGAAGCUGGCUAUUCUUCGGAUCAUAGUGGUGACAACACAUGAUCCUGAUGAUCAGACGACUAGCACAGGUAUGAAUACAAAAGAUACAUUUAAAAAAAUAUAUAUUUCCCUCUCAGAAUUCAUAAAAUAAAGUGACAGAUUAUUAGCAUAAUUUACAUGAACAAGUGUAAAAAUUGAUCAGAAACAUACCUUUACUAACCGAAUAUGUGACUGUUAUGAAAAUUUUAUUCUCUCGAAAGCUUAUAUACACGUUUAAGAACACUCAAAGAAGCCCGAAACCUGAAUUGUCACCUAACUUAAAUGAUAAAUGUAUUACAUGAUUACAGUUGGUAGUAAUCUCUACAACCUGAAGAAACGCAAGCCUUUAUCAACAUUAUCUUGCCUAAAGGCAAGAAUCCCAAAUUUACAGAUCUAAAUUUCAGUCUGAGUCUAAGGUCAAGUAUUUAUUUCAUAAUAACGUAAGCUCUUUGGUAAGGGUGCUAGUCAGCUCUCAUAUAAUAUGUAUCAAGUAUAAGCAAAUUCAAUAGAUAUCAGCAUGCUGUAUAUGUUUAGGAUCCUAACUCCAUUUUACAG
rnacentral:lncRNA from 1 species